AACUCAGGACCUCUGGAAGAGCAGCAAGU
rnacentral:piRNA from 1 species